rnacentral:rRNA from 1 species
CCUACGGGGGGCAGCAGUGGGGAAUAUUGCACAAUGGGCGAAAGCCUGAUGCAGCGACGCCGCGUGAGCGAUGAAGGCCCUCGGGUCGUAAAGCUCUGUCCUCAUGGAAGAAAAUGACGGUACCUGAGGAGGAAGCCCCGGCUAACUACGUGCCAGCAGCCGCGGUAAUACGUAGGGGGCUAGCGUUAUCCGGAUUUACUGGGGGUAAAGGGGGCGGAGGUGGGGUUUCAAGCCAGGAGUGAAAGGCCGGGGCUCAACCCGGGGAAGGCGGUUGAAACUGGGGGGCUUGAGUGCAGGAGGGGCAGGCGGAAUUCCUGGUGUAGCGGUGAAAUGCGUAGAUAUUAGGAGGAACACCGGUGGCGAAGGCGGCUCUCUGGACUGCAACUGACGCUGAGGCACGAAAGCGUGGGGAGCAAACAGGAUUAGAUACCCGUGUAGUC